CUUAAGUUAAGGUAGGGUAAUAAAGAGACAUGCUAAAAGACUGAAAAAGAAACAGAGCAAGGAAGAAAGUAAAAAAAAAGAAACAUGACAGAGUAAGAAGGGAGGAUAAAAGGGCAGAGAGGGGUGUGAAUAAAGAUAGGAGGGAAAGGGGCAAAAAAUACAUUGUAGAGGAGUGGGCUGUCAGAAGAGUGAGGGGAGAAAAAGUCAUGGGGAGGUAGAAGCAUUGCGAAACCAACCUGAUCUGACUUGCAGUGCAAUCCGAUCCUUAGGUUUAGUUUUUUUUAAUGUCAUUAUAUCCUGACCUGCACCAGACAGAUAUCUGUGAUUAUAUUCAAUGUAAAAAGAAGGACACGAGUUCUAACCCUCCUACCUGGAUCUCCAAAUUAAAAAAAACAACCCCUUUGCUUUUCUUCAGCAUGAGACUGACAUAGGAUUGAGUGCAAAGUAAGCCUCCUAGCACCCACCCCCUCUCCAGCCGAGCAGCCCGCAACCAUUCAAAGCAGCAUAACACACGCACAGAAAUAUAUAUGUGUAUCUUUUGCAACAGAUCAAGGAAGUCUGCAGAAGAAGAAACAGAAGAGCUCGGGCAAGGGAUUGAAGGAUUGCACAGAGCGGCCAUCACGUUAAACGUUCUAUUUUUUUGGAUGACAUACAUGGAGUUACUUUGUAUCCACUCCUAGGAAGAAGAGGGAGAGCGAGAAAAGAUCAUCGCUGGCUACACUGUGUGUACUGCUAUGCUGGACUUUCUGUGGAAUGGUUUUAUCUAUUUUUUCACCUUAGGAUCCUCCCCUAUUUUAACGUGAGCUAAUCUCAACAGUGAGGACACCCCAAACAGCAAGGUAAACCGAUAAC